ACCGGCGGCUCGAGUGGUGGCCACUAUUACUGGGCUUAAAGCGUUCGUAGCUGGCUUGUUAAGUCUCUGGGGAAAUCUUCCUUCUCCCCCGGAAGGCGUCUCAGGGAUACUGGCAGGCUAGGGACCGGAAGAGGUGAGAGGUACUCCAGGGGUAGGAGUGAAAUCCUGUAAGCCGAGGGGGACCACCUGUGGCGAAGGCGUCUCACCAGGACGGCUCCGACAGUGAGGAACGAAAGCGGGGGGAGCAAACCG
rnacentral:rRNA from 1 species